rnacentral:rRNA from 1 species
UACGUAGGGGGCAAGCGUUGUCCGGAUUUAUUGGGCGUAAAGCGCUCGCAGGUGGUUCGUCGCGUCGUGCGUGAAAGACCCCGGCUCAACUGGGGAGGGUCACGCGAUACUGAUCGACUCGAAGGCAGGAGAGGGUAGUGGAAUUCCCGGUGUAGUGGUGAAAUGCGUAGAUAUCGGGAGGAACACCAGUGGCGAAGGCGACUACCUGGCCUGUUCUUGACGCUGAGGCGCGAAAGCUAGGGGAGCAAACGGG